ACGGAAGGCAGCAGUGAGGAAUAUUGGUCAAUGGACGGAAGUCUGAACCAGCCAUGCCGCGUGCAGGAAGACGGCCCUAUGGGUUGUAAACUGCUUUUGUGGUGGAGCAAUAAGGCGUACGUGUACGCCGAUGAGAGUACAUCACGAAUAAGCAUCGGCUAACUCCGUGCCAGCAGCCGCGGUAAUACGGAGGAUGCAAGCGUUAUCCGGAUUUAUUGGGUUUAAAGGGUGCGUAGGCUGUGCAGCAAGUCAGAGGUGAAAGCCCGGUGCUUAACACCGGAACUGCCUUUGAUACUGUUGUGCUGGAGUACGGAUGCCGUGGGAGGAAUGAGUAGUGUAGCGGUGAAAUGCAUAGAUAUUACUCAGAACACCGAUUGCGAAGGCAUCUCACGAAUCCGUCAUUGACGCUGAGGCACGAAAGUGUGGGGAUCAAACAGGAUUAGAUACCCUGGUA
rnacentral:rRNA from 1 species